UACGUAGGGGGCAAGCGUUGUCCGGAAUCAUUGGGCGUAAAGAGCGUGUAGGCGGCCUGGUAAGUCCGCUGUGAAAGUCCAGGGCUCAACCCUGGAAUGCCGGUGGAAACUGUCAGGCUCGAGUCCGGAAGAGGCGAGUGGAAUUCCUGGUGUAGCGGUGAAAUGCGCAGAUAUCAGGAGGAACACCGGUGGCGAAGGCGGCGACCUGGGUCGAGACUGACGCUGAGGCGCGAAAGCGUGGGGAGCAAACAGG
rnacentral:rRNA from 1 species